rnacentral:rRNA from 1 species
CCUACGGGGCUGCAGCAGUGGGGAAUAUUGGACAAUGGGCGAAAGCCUGAUCCAGCCAUGCCGCGUGUGUGAAGAAGGCCUUCGGGUUGUAAAGCACUUUCAGUGGGGAAGAAAGCCUUGGGGCUAAUACCCUCGAGGAAGGACAUCACCCACAGAAGAAGUACCGGCUAACUCCGUGCCAGCAGCCGCGGUAAUACGGAGGGUGCGAGCGUUAAUCGGAAUUACUGGGCGUAAAGCGCGCGUAGGCGGUCUGAUAAGCCGGUUGUGAAAGCCCCGGGCUCAACCUGGGAACGGCAUCCGGAACUGUCAGGCUAGAGUGCAGGAGAGGAAGGUAGAAUUCCCGGUGUAGCGGUGAAAUGCGUAGAGAUCGGGAGGAAUACCAGUGGCGAAGGCGGCCUUCUGGACUGACACUGACGCUGAGGUGCGAAAGCGUGGGUAGCAAACAGGAUUAGAUACCCCGGUAGUC